GCCGUGGUGGUGUAACUGGUAACACGCCUCUCGCCAUGAGAGGAGAUCUGAGUUUGAUCCCCAGCCUCGACA